AAAGGAGAAAAGUGGGUCACGGUUAGACUUCUAAUCUUUACUGUAGGCAGUUCGAGUCUGUCUUUUUCUUUA
rnacentral:tRNA from 1 species